rnacentral:rRNA from 1 species
AAGAUUAAACUGAAGAGUUUGAUCAUGGCUCAGAUUGAACGCUGGCGGCAGGCUUAACACAUGCAAGUCGAGCGGUAACAGAUCUAGCUUGCUAGAUGCUGACGAGCGGCGGACGGGUGAGUAACGCGUAGGAACCUGCCCAGUAGUGGGGGAUAGCCCGGUGAAAACCGGAUUAAUACCGCAUACGCUCUACGGAGGAAAGGGGGCUUCGGCUCUCGCUAUUGGAUGGGCCUGCGUGAGAUUAGCUAGUUGGUGAGGUAAUGGCUCACCAAGGCGACGAUCUCUAGCUGGUCUGAGAGGAUGAUCAGCCACACUGGGACUGAGACACGGCCCAGACUCCUACGGGAGGC